AUUGAACGCUGGCGGCAUGCCUUACACAUGCAAGUCGAACGGCAGCACGGGAGCAAUCCUGGUGGCGAGUGGCGAACGGGUGAGUAAUAUAUCGGAACGUGCCCAGUCGUGGGGAUAACGUAGCGAAAGCUACGCUAAUACCGCAUACGAUCUAUGGAUGAAAGCGGGGGAUCGCAAGACCUCGCGCGAUUGGAGCGGCCGAUAUCAGAUUAGGUAGUUGGUGAGGUAAGGGCUCACCAAGCCGACGAUCUGUAGCUGGUCUGAGAGGACGACCAGCCACACUGGGACUGAGACACGGCCCAGACUCCUACGGGAGGCAGCAGUGGGGAAUUUUGGACAAUGGGCGCAAGCCUGAUCCAGCAAUGCCGCGUGCAGGAUGAAGGCCUCGG
rnacentral:rRNA from 1 species